AGGAUCUUCCGCAAUGGACGAAAGUCUGACGGAGCGACGCCGCGUGGAGGAAGAAGGCCUUCGGGUUGUAAACUCCUGUCAGGGUUUAAGAAUGCGGGCGGGUGAAUAACCACGUCCGUUGACGAAGGACCCCACGGAAGCCACAGCUCACUUCGUGCCAGCAGCUGCGGUAAUACGAAGGUGGCGAGCGUUGUUCGGAUUCACUGGGCAUAAAGGGCGCGUAGGCUGCCCUGUAAGCGGCGUGUGAAAUCCCGGAGCUCAACUCCGGAACUGCAUGCUGAACUGCAGGGCUAGAGGUCAAGAGGGGGGUGUGGAACUCCAGGUGGAGCGGUGAAAUGCGUAGAUAUCUGGAGGAACGCCGGUGGCGAAAGCGACACCCUGGCUUGACCCUGACGCUGAGGCGCGAAAGCGUGGGUAGCAAAC
rnacentral:rRNA from 1 species